rnacentral:rRNA from 1 species
AACGAACGCUGGCGGCAGGCUUAACACAUGCAAGUCGAGCGCCCCGCAAGGGGAGCGGCAGACGGGUGAGUAACGCGUGGGAAUCUACCCAUCCCUACGGAAUAGCUCCGGGAAACUGGAAUUAAUACCGUAUACGCCCUACGGGGGAAAGAUUUAUCGGGGAUGGAUGAGCCCGCGUUGGAUUAGCUAGUUGGUGGGGUAAAGGCCUACCAAGGCGACGAUCCAUAGCUGGUCUGAGAGGAUGAUCAGCCACAUUGGGACUGAGACACGGCCCAAACUCCUACGGGAGGCAGCAGUGGGGAAUAUUGGACAAUGGGGGCAGCCCUGAUCCAGCCAUGCCGCGUGAGUGAUGAAGGCCUUAGGGUUGUAAAGCUCUUUCACCGGGGAAGAUAAUGACUGUACCCACAGAAGAAGCCCCGGCUAACUCCGUGCCAGCAGCCGCCGUAAGAC